GCUCACAUGUUCCAACCAAAUGGAUUUGCAAGUAAUUAACACAUGGAAGGUCAGCUCACUUCUCCAGACCUCCAUUUCUCGGGUGUCAAUGAGGAUAAAAAAACACUCACCCUUCAGUGAACUGAAGAGCCACAGAAAACCUGCCUCCUGCCUCCCAUGGCGGGAGGAUAGCGCUCAGCCCACGGAUGUCUCACUGCUGCCAGUUAAGUUUCAAGCAGUGGCUUAUCAACUGAGGCUGCCACUGGAGAGAGGGCUGAGGAAGCUGGAAGAAACCCUGCACUGCUUCCCCAGCACUGUCAGCAGCAAGGAGCAGAGGCUCCCCCAGGAGCAACCCCCGAUGUGGAACUGGCCAUUCAAGCAGCAUACGGAGACACUGUGACUAGGAGGAUGUCUCGGUUUGAACCGAACACAGUGCAGAUGGUCACUGCCAGCACGUGGCCCAUGCAGAGUGACCGGGACCUCAGAGGCCCCGCCCAUAUUGUCCUAUUCUCCUUUUCUUCAAUGCUACAACGUUACAGUUUCCUGGAUGAUCACAGCAAAUAGAUGCUACAAAAUUGUACUUCCCAUGAAAAAUCCCUUUUCUAAAAGUUAAAUAUUUUACGGAACCUCGUUAUGCAAGAUAGAUCCAAAUGCCAUCUUAUUAGAAUAAGUCAUUAAAUGUCCAUGUAUAUGUAAUAUUGUAUUUAAUAAAUACAGUAAGAAAAAUUCAAUAAGCCCUGUGCAAUUGUAAGAUCACCAACCCCAUGUAUGCCUCACCCACCCUCAACAUUUAUUAUUCCUCCUUGUAUAACGCUGCUUUCUCAUACUCCUGCCCACCCUCUAAUGAAUAUUUUAAAGCUUAUAUGUAUC
rnacentral:lncRNA from 1 species